CCAGACUCCUACGGGAGGCAGCAGUGGGGAAUAUUGCACAAUGGGGGAAACCCUGAUGCAGCGACGCCGCGUGAGUGAAGAAGUAUUUCGGUAUGUAAAGCUCUAUCAGCAGGAAAGAAAAUGACGGUACCUGACUAAGAAGCCCCGGCUAACUACGUGCCAGCAGCCGCGGUAAUACGUAGGGGGCAAGCGUUAUCCGGAUUUACUGGGUGUAAAGGGCGUGUAGGCGGGAGUGCAAGUCAGAUGUGAAAACCACGGGCUCAACCUGUGGCCUGCAUUUGAAACUGUACUUCUUGAGUACUGGAGAGGCAGACGGAAUUCCUAGUGUAGCGGUGAAAUGCGUAGAUAUCAGGAGGAACACCGGUGGCGAAGGCGGCCUGCUGGACUGUAACUGACACUGAGGCUCGAAAGCGUGGGGAGCAAACAGGAUUAGAUACCCCUGUA
rnacentral:rRNA from 1 species